rnacentral:rRNA from 1 species
UACGUAGGAUGCAAGCGUUGUUCGGAAUUACUGGGCGUAAAGAGUACGUAGGCGGUUUGGUAGGUCCGCUGUGAAAACUCGAGCUCAACCUCGAGACGCCGGUGGAAACCAUCAGACUAGAGUCCGGAAGAGGAGAGUGGAAUUCCGUGGUGUAGCGGUGAAAUGCGCAGACUAUCAGGAAGAACACCCGUGGCUAAGGCGGCUCUCUAGUACGGUACUGACGCUGAGACGCGAAAGCGUGGGGAGCGAACAGG